AUUUUUGGGAUAGCGCCAGGCUUGCUUAGCAAGUGACGAGGACUGAAUUGAUCGAAAUAUUCGGCGGAUGAUUCAGGGGUUGUACAAUCCACAGGUGGGAAAAAAGUAAGACAAUCAAUGAUCUAGA
rnacentral:ncRNA from 2 species